rnacentral:rRNA from 1 species
GAUGAACGCUGGCGGCGUGCUUAACACAUGCAAGUCGAACGAUGAUGCUGGAGCUUGCUCCAGUUGAUUAGUGGCGAACGGGUGAGUAAUACGUAGAUGACCUACCUUAAAGUGGGGGAUAACUACUGGAAACGGUGGCUAAUACCGCAUAGAGCUGUGACCGUUGGGAGGUUGCAGGGGAAGCUCCGGCGCUUAGAGAGGGGUCUACGUCCGAUUAGCUAGUUGGUGGGGUAAAGGCCUACCAAGGCGACGAUCGGUAGCUGGUCUGAGAGGACGAUCAGCCACACGGGAACUGAGACACGGUCCCGACUCCUACGGGGGGCAGCAGCGAGGAAUAUUGGGCAAUGGGCGAAAGCCUGACCCAGCAACGCCGCGUGAAGGAAGAAGGCCUUCGGGUUGUAAACUUCUUUUGUGGGGGAAGAGAGAGGACGGUACCCUGCGAAUAAGUCACGGCUAACUACGUGCCAGCCGCCGCGGUAA